rnacentral:rRNA from 1 species
GAAGGAUCAUUACCGAGUGAGGGCCCUCUGGGUCCAACCUCCCACCCGUGUUUAUUUUACCUUGUUGCUUCGGCGGGCCCGCCUUAACUGGCCGCCGGGGGGCUUACGCCCCCGGGCCCGCGCCCGCCGAAGACACCCUCGAACUCUGUCUGAAGAUUGUAGUCUGAGUGAAAAUAUAAAUUAUUUAAAACUUUCAACAACGGAUCUCUUGGUUCCGGCAUCGAUGAAGAACGCAGCGAAAUGCGAUACGUAAUGUGAAUUGCAAAUUCAGUGAAUCAUCGAGUCUUUGAACGCACAUUGCGCCCCCUGGUAUUCCGGGGGGCAUGCCUGUCCGAGCGUCAUUUCUGCCCUCAAGCACGGCUUGUGUGUUGGGCCCCGUCCUCCGAUCCCGGGGGACGGGCCCGAAAGGCAGCGGCGGCACCGCGUCCGGUCCUCGAGCGUAUGGGGCUUUGUCACCCGCUCUGUAGGCCCGGCCGGCGCUUGCCGAUCAACCCAAAUUUUUAUCCAGGUUGACCUCGGAUCAGGUAGGGAUACCCGCUGAACUUAAGCAUA